GGAGGGUGCAAGCGUUAUCCGGAUUCACUGGGUUUAAAGGGUGCGUAGGUGGGUUGGUAAGUCAGUGGUGAAAUCUCCAGGCUUAACUUGGAAACUGCCAUUGAUACUAUCAAUCUUGAAUACCGUGGAGGUCAGCGGAAUAUGUCAUGUAGCGGUGAAAUGCUUAGAUAUGACAUAGAACACCAAUUGCGAAGGCAGCUGGUUACACGAAUAUUGACACUGAUGCACGAAAGCGUGGGGAUCAAACAGGAUUAGAUACCCUGGUAGUCCACGCCCUAAACGAUGGAUACUCGACAUACGCGAUAUACUGUGUGUGUCUGAGCGAAAGCAUUAAGUAUCCCACCUGGGAAGUACGAUCGCAAGAUUGAA
rnacentral:rRNA from 1 species